GACGAACGCUGGCGGCGUGCUUAACACAUGCAAGUCGAAUGGAAAGGCCCUGCUUUUGUGGGGUGCUCGAGUGGCGAACGGGUGAGUAACACGUGAGUAACCUGCCCUUGACUUUGGGAUAACUUCAGGAAACUGGGGCUAAUACCGGAUAGGAGCUCCUGCUGCAUGGUGGGGGUUGGAAAGUUUCGGCGGUUGGGGAUGGACUCGCGGCUUAUCAGCUUGUUGGUGGGGUAGUGGCUUACCAAGGCUUUGACGGGUAGCCGGCCUGAGAGGGUGACCGGCCACAUUGGGACUGAGAUACGGCCCAGACUCCUACGGGAGGCAGCAGUGGGGAAUAUUGCACAAUGGGCGGGAGCCUGAUGCAGCAACGCCGCGUGCGGGAUGACGGCCUUCGGGUUGUAAACCGCUUUCGCCUGUGACGAAGCGUGAGUGACGGUAAUGGGUAAAGAAGCACCGGCUAACUACGUG
rnacentral:rRNA from 1 species